AACAAGCAGGUGAUUUAUAGCAGUUCCACCAGGCCACCUCCUCUGCUCUCUCCCAAAACAGCAGAGCAAGGAAAUCCAUUACAAAUGAAGUACUGUGUUAAUGGGCUUUGGUGUGUGUGUGUGUUCAUGGUAAACAAUUGAUGUUUGGGUGAAAAAAAGGUGAAGGUUAUUCGAGGUGUCUGUUUCUGUGUGCAGCAGGUCAGCCUCUACUGUGUGUGUGUGUGUGUGUGUGUGUGUGUGUGUGUGUGUGUGUGUGUUUAUAUACAGCACUGUUUGUGUUUGCUCCUAUAUAAUCAGCUGCUUCCUAUUGGCUCCUAUGCACCCUCUAUCCAUCGCUUUUCUCUCCAUCCCCCUCUCUCCUCUCACACGACCCCACCCCCCUCAGCUCUCUCUCUCCCUCACUUUCUGAGAGAUGGAGUGAUACAGGCCUGUGUUCUAGGCAGAGGAGAGGAGAGGCUCAGGGGAGAAAACAGAGGAGUGAAGGAGGAAUAAAUAAAGAGAACGGAGGGAUGCUGGUAAUGUACCAGCGGAGGAUCAGGUGACGAUUUGGUGAGGGUACGUCGAUCCUACUAGACCUGUACCUUUAGGAACCAAUUAUACCCUGAGCAGGUGGAAGAGAAUUCGGUUGAGGAUAAAUCUGAAACAAGACACUCCCUCCUUGUUUUUCGUCCCAUACAAAGUCCAAAGGGAGAGGGCGACUAAAAUAUGACUUCAAUAACAGGAUAGGAGUGAUAACUCGUAGGGAACAGAUGGUCAUGUUGGAAUAGCGUGGUAUGACCGUGUAGUCUUUACAGCGGUAAAACUCCUACUCCUACACGGGCAUGUUCUUCAGUGAGAGACCUAGACAGAAACACAGUAUUCAGGUAGAUGCUGAAGUGGUAAACGUCAUGGCCCUGCAUACAAACCUUUAGCAUUUCAUCUUUAAAACACAGGUUGGGAAAGGUAUUCCUGAAAUAUAACGGCAUUGUAUUAUGAUCUAUCCUCCUCAUACUUAGCCUUGCAUGCCAACUAGGCUCACCUACUGUAUAGAAACAGUUAGAAAAGAACUGAAUUUGUUGAUAUCUCUACUGUGUGUGUGUGUGUGUGUGUGUGUGUGUGUGUGUGUGUGUGUGUGUGUGUGUGUGUGUGUGUGUGUGUGUGUGCGUGCGUGCGUGCGUGCGUGCGGUAUUUGCUCCAUUUUUUGGCAAAGUUGUUGUCUUUCUUCUUGGCUGCAUGUGAGCCUGAUACCAAGUGCUAAGGAUCUCUCUCUCUCUCUCUCACACACACACACACACACACACACAGACGGCUGGUGGAGACACUGUGUUCCUAUCUGGCCACUAGGUGGCGAUGGUUGCCAGGCUGCCAAGCAGACAGACACGGUAGCAAGUCACAGAUGUUGUCUGGCCCCUCCUUUUGUUUUCUGCCUAUUGAAGAAGGAGACCUCAGCUGCUGAAGGACAUUCUCCAUUAUGGCAUCAAUGUUCUUUUGAAAAUAAUUUCCAUUAAAACAUGUUUUUUUUUGUUGUUGUUAAAGGGACAGUAACAAAGGGAAGGCCAGGAAAAGUAGAUGAGGAGAGAGGGACUGACAAGGGGUGCCUGGAUGGGAGUGAGGGAUAUAAAGGGGGCCUUGAUUUAGAGAGGUUUGUGUGUGUGUGUAUAUGUAUGAGUGGCUUGUGUAUGUGUGUGUUCUGAAUAACCAUGUACGAGAACAGCAAGACCAUCUAUCGAGAAACAUCACUAGAACUGACGGUCAAAAUGAUGAAGAAUGUGUGGGUGAAAAUGUGCCGUGUGUAUUGGGUAGAAUUCCAGAAGGAGUAAUGUAUAUCACUAUGCGGCGUUUAGAUCUGCAGUACAGUGGCUCAGAGUCUAUCGGAGGGUCACCAUAAAUGUUGUCAAUGAGCAUUUCUUUAUCCAAUAACAGAAUGUUUCAUGGCUGCCACAAAUGAAUCUCCUGACUUCCCACUGAGCUGACUGUUCUCAUCUCUGCAGUUAAGCAGAUAUCGGCUUUGCUCUAUUUUAGUGGCGGUGAAGCUAAAAGCAAAGGAGGUUGUACAUAGCAACAGUUAAAACACUGAAAAUUGUAUUUGAGCAUUGUAUUGGAAGCAAUAUUACAAUAGGAGAACGAGUCAAACAUUACGCAGAAGAGGAACUGACCAGUUAGGCCUACAACAUUGUGCCUUUUAAGAAACAGUAGAAUGAAAAACCAAGACAGUUCUGAAACCCAAAAAUAAAAUACAUCAAACGUCCCUUUUGGCUUGUAUUCUUUCUGGAUCUCGCUCUUCAAUAUCAAGUGUCCUUAGUCUCCAGCAAUGGAUACCUCCACUGCUUCUCGGAGUGAGAGGGGAAGAUACGGGGGCGAGAUGAACCGCCUAAGCAUGUUUUUUUUCUUCUUUUCAAUCCCAGUUCAUGGUGGGUG